ACCAGGCCUGAGAGUGAGGACGGCUUU
rnacentral:piRNA from 1 species